AUUGAACGCUGGCGGCAGGCCUAACACAUGCAAGUCGAACGGUAACAGGAAGACGCUUGCUUCUUUGCUGACGAGUGGCGGACGGGUGAGUAAUGUCUGGGAAACUGCCUGAUGGAGGGGGAUAACUACUGGAAACGGUAGCUAAUGCCGCAUAACGUCGCAAGACCAAAAAGGGGGACCUUCGGGCCUCUUGCCCUCGGAUGUGCCCAGAUGGGAUUAGCUAGUAGGUGGGGUAACGGCUCACCUAGGCGACGAUCCCUAGCUGGUCUGAGAGGAUGACCAGCCACACUGGAACUGAGACACGGUCCAGACUCCUACGGGAGGCAGCAGUGGGGAAUAUUGCACAAUGGGCGCAAGCCUGAUGCAGCCAUGCCGCGUGUAUGAAGAAGGCCUUCGGGUUGUAAAGUACUUUCAGCGGGGAGGAAGGGAGUAAAGUUAAUACCUUUGCUCAUUGACGUUACCCGCAGAAGAAGCACCGGCUAACUCCGUG
rnacentral:rRNA from 1 species